UACAACUAUACUAGAAAGAGAACAUAUACAACGAUAUUAGAACGAGUACAUUACUAUACUUGCUAGGUAGAGAGCACGUACAAUACUAGCUAGAACAUUACAGUACAUUACCAUACUACUACAUAGAUAUGGUCACAUGAUUAUAGUUACAUGAGUACACUUACAAGAAUUACUAGUACAUUUUACAUGUAUAUAUUCUGUUAUAAAAUCCUCAUUCUUAUCUUUACCUUGUGAUUCAAUCACAUAAUCGACGAGAUACAUUGGAUUUAAUAUCCUAGUACCCAAGAGCAAGAGUGGAAAUAUGAAAUUGAUUCUUUCAUUUGUGNCUAGGUAGAGAGCACGUACAAUACUAGCUAGAACAUUACAGUACAUUACCAUACUACUACAUAGAUAUGGUCACAUGAUUAUAGUUACAUGAGUACACUUACAAGAAUUACUAGUACAUUUUACAUGUAUAUAUUCUGUUAUAAAAUCCUCAUUCUUAUCUUUACCUUGUGAUUCAAUCACAUAAUC
rnacentral:lncRNA from 1 species